CUCCCACUGCCUAGGCAAAGCAUUUCUGGAUUCACUUGAAGAUUGAUGCAUGGACAUGUUUCCAUUGAAGUUGCUACAGGUGAUAGGAGAUUUCUUUGGGAGACUGACAAAAGGAUUGGAGCACAGCGAGUUAUUAUUAUAUCCACUUAUUAAAAAAAAAAAAAGACAAAAGAACAUGCUGUAAGAUCAAUAAUAUAGCCCAACUUGUGCAAUGCAGUAACUUCUCAGUGCUACAAAAAAAACCCAGGGAUGAUCACAGUCCUGAAUGCACACUCACAAAGCCAUUCCAGAUUGAAUCUGUGAGCACCCACAGUCAGUUCAACAGGAAAAAGUAAGAUAUAGUAUUUUAAGGACAUGACUUUGAUAAUUCUCUCGUUUGAAGCCAGGGAUAAGUGACAGGUUGGACACUCCCACCGGGGAAAUAGGCUAGUUACAUUGGAAUGGGUUACCCUUUGCUAUUCAACAUCUCAACUCCCUAGUGGUAACUAAGGUGUUUGCCUCAGCACGUGGUUGUUUACACAGUGACUUAUCUUACCUUGGUGAGAUAUUUGAUACCCAUAAAACAUCCGUCACACUCUGUCCUACUGCUUUUCUUUAACUCAGGGGAAGGCCCAUCCCUCUUCCAAAACCUUUGACAUCUUUGAAAUAUGACAGCGUAGCUCAGGGGCUGUGCAAUGGUUGCUUUCUCCAGAGGCUCUGCAACACCUCAGUACUUCCUCUUCUUUGAACAGAGGUGGCAAAAUUCCAUAAUUUGUUUCCAU
rnacentral:lncRNA from 1 species